rnacentral:rRNA from 1 species
UGAGGAAUUAUGCGCAAUGGACGAAAGUCUGACGCUGCGACGUCGCGUGGGUGAUGAAGGUCUUCGGAUCGUAAAACCCUGUCGAGAGGGAAGAAAGAGCGGGCGCUAAUAUCGCCUACUUCUGACGGUACCUCUGGAGGAAGCCCCGGCUAACUCUGUGCCAGCAGCCGCGGUAAUACAGAGGGGGCAAGCGUUGUUCGGAAUUACUGGGCGUAAAGGGCUCGUAGGCGGCCAACUAAGUCAGACGUGAAAUCCCUCGGCUUAACCGGGGAACUGCGUCUGAUACUGGAUGGCUUGAGGUUGGGAGAGGGAUGCGGAAUUCCAGGUGUAGCGGUGAAAUGCGUAGAUAUCUGGAGGAACACCGGUGGCGAAGGCGACAUCCUGGACCAAUUCUGACGCUGAGGAGCGAAAGCCAGGGGAGCAAACGGGAUUAGAUACCCACGUAGUCCCUGAGCGGGCUGGCAAGGCGCAU